GACGAACGCUGGCGGCGUGCCUAAUACAUGCAAGUCGAACGAGAGCGACCGGUGCUUGCACUGGUCAAUCUAGUGGCGAACGGGUGAGUAACACGUGGGUAACCUGCCCAUCAGAGGGGGAUAACAUCCGGAAACGGAUGCUAAAACCGCAUAGGUCUUCGAGCCGCAUGGCUUGAAGAGGAAAAGAGGCGCAAGCUUCUGCUGAUGGAUGGACCCGCGGUGCAUUAGCUAGUUGGUGAGGUAACGGCUCACCAAGGCCGUGAUGCAUAGCCGACCUGAGAGGGUGAUCGGCCACAUUGGGACUGAGACACGGUCCAAACUCCUACGGGAGGCAGCAGUAGGGAAUCUUCCGCAAUGGACGCAAGUCUGACGGAGCAACGCCGCGUGAGUGAAGAAGGUUUUCGGAUCGUAAAACUCUGUUGUUAGAGAAGAACAAGUGCUAGAGUAACUGUUAGCGCCUUGACGGUAUCUAACCAGAAAGCCACGGCUAACCACGUG
rnacentral:rRNA from 1 species